UCAAAUUGUUUAAACCGGAUAUGAUGAUUAAAUGUUGUAUCGGCAUGGUUUUAUCUGUCUACUUUGCUUUUUCAAUUUGGUUGCCAGCUUCAACCUAAUUCUUGAUUUAGAACUAUGAUUUUGAACUAAAACAUUUCCGUGUUGAAUAAAAUACUAUUUAUUCUUAACUGUAUUUUUUUUGAGGCUUCAGUUAUCAAAUGUUGGUGGUAAUUUUAGUUAUGCCACUGUGAAAGCGUCGAUUGUUAAUUAGACAUAAAAAGUUUGAAGUAUGCACAAAGCCUGAAAGUGUCAAAUAUGGAACCUAAAAAAACCUGCCUUUGUCACUGACUGUAUAAAGGUUUUUUAAGGUCUCUUUGUCAAGCGUCAAGUCAGGUUAUCUUGGUACUGGUACCACUCCUGCUUAAGCAGGUUGUACGCCAUCCAUACGACAUUUGGGCAUCUGUUUGUAAAAUAUUGCUGCAAAUCUUUUUGAGAGAGCCAUUACUAUGGAGAACCAUCUAAACCAUACAAGUGUGGAAACAUGGAUGUAAAUCUAUAUUAAUGUGAAAUAAACUGAUGAGUUUAUUUGACUUAGCUGGUAAAAAAAAGAGUUUUCGUGAAACAAAUUUAAUGAAGAUAGUUAUAGAAUGAAGUUCAUUCAUUUGCUGGCAACAUUUUUAAACGUGGUCCAGGGGUCAAUGUUAUAAAACUACCGGCGAAAUUUUUACUCAGGAAUUUUUACAGCCGUAAAUUUAGAGACGUAAAAUGUUUUUUCAUUCAAUGUUAUAAAACUUUUACCGGCGUAAAAUUUUGAAGAUAUCUCUGCUCUGAAUUUAUUUUCGGAAAUCUACUGUCUGAAUCAAUAACUUAAAAGGUUGUCAAAAGCAAAAUGUUUUUGAGUUGAAAACAUCAAAGUUAACAAAAAUUAACAGUUUCUUAUGGAUUCGGACUUAGACUGUUCUGAUUCUGAUAAAGAAUAUUUUGUUGCUUUAGAAUAUUUGGCAAAUCAGAGACAACCACGAGAAAUAAAACUGUUCAAACAGUAUUUAAACU
rnacentral:lncRNA from 1 species